AUGAAGACAAAGCCAUUUUCAAACAUUCGAUUGGCGAAAUCUGCACGCUUAGCUAACACUUUCAUUUUCAGAGCUGCCGGUGGCUGUAUGCAGGUCCAGAAAAUCGACUGUGUUUCCUGGUGGAUUCCACCCAGGGAAGAGAGCCCUGGGAAUGCCCAGACACGUUUGUUGGAAGGAAUGGAUGAGUGGCUAACAGGCGAGCCCCCAGGAUGCAAACGCAUUUACCAAUUCACUGGCAGAAACCUUAGCUGCCUCUUCUGGAAGCCACCAUUCGGCCCAGCCGGGACAGAAAAAGAGCCACUCUCCAUUGUACUGGCCAGGAGGUGUGCAAAUGCAGUUGUGCAGAUGCUUACCGCUGCUGUAAUCCAGCAUGUCCACACCGUAACCAUCAGACCUGGCUGGGUUGGGGCCCUGUCAGAGAGACAGGGAAGCGUCAGAUAGGGAAGGCUGGGAAGAAGGAUGCAGCGGGAGGCCCCCCACAGCCGAGGCUGAAAGGCAUCAUGGACGCUUUGGGCUACCACUUCCAAUGUUUUGCCUAAUGUUUAGGGUAUUCAUGGGGUUUGUGCAAGUGUGUCCACAGGCCCCUGUAGCCAGAACAUGGGACUAGGCUUUCUGAAGACCGUGCAUUCCGGCGCUGACUUUUCCUAUCAAUGGGAGAGACGUGGGCUAUUGACCUAGCGGCCUUCUCUUCUCCAUCUAUUGUCGCGGCUCAAUCACGCACUUACCAGAAGAAAAGCGAGUUUAUCUUAGCCUGGAGGAGCCUCAGGUUGCGUGUGUGUGACUAAAGGGUGGGGGAAGUUCUGCAGCCACGACUCUGCAGAUGGGUUGAGGAUAGACACUUUCAGAAAAGGGCCAAUUUCCCCUUCACAAUGAGCGCUAAGUACGUGAUAAAUGGGGCUGGUGUUUAUUCAUGAGCAGGUACUUGGGAGAUGGCGAUUAGAACGGCCGCCCGCGCCGCCUCGCCAAGGUACUUAAAGCCGGGCAGGUGCAGCGCUGCGCGCAGCCCGAGCGCACAAAGCCCGCGGCCACAGCGGCGUGGGGAGGGGCGUGAGUGCGGGCCGCGCGGGGCCCUGAGGGCGCGCGGCGCGCAGGCACCUUAGCCCUUUGUUCCUCCACCGAAGCCAAGGCCACUUCACCGAGGGGCGUCCCGGAAAACCUCCCCUCUAAUUACAAAGAAUUCCGCUUCGUCCCUCCUCCCAGAGUCCAGCCGGGCAACUCAUGGCCCGGAGGACGCGGGGACUCAGCGUGAGACCAGGCUGGGCAUUUGCGUAAAUGCCGCCUGUAAGCUGGCUCUUAGCUACCCAACUAAGUAACGCAACAACUAGGAAAGCAGCAGAACCCGGGCCUGGGAACAGCGCGGGCACGCGGCUCUAGCCGCCCCCGCCGCCGAGGCGCCACCUCUGGCCGUGCGGGUAACCUCGGGCUUUCAGGUUUUGUUUCAACUCCAAGGGGAGAAAAUUGGGGUCUGUCUCUUUCCACAGCUUCCUGGCGCCAAGGUCGUGGGACAGACCCGAUCUCGCCCUUAGAGUGGCUCCGGAAUCCCUAAGAACCUCCAGCUUUGGCCCACGAUCGGUGGCCCCGGUGUGCGGGGAGAGAGCGCAGCUGGCACGCAGGCCUUGGGGGACCUAGAGCUUGGUCCUCUGCGUGUCUGGACAUUGAGCGGUGGAGUGUUUCCCGCGGGGCAACCUAUGACUCUCAUCCCCCUGGCCUCGUGCCCACCCACCCCACCUAGCCCCACCCCCCAGCAGCUAGGGUGCUUCGUAUGCGCCACGUCCAGGGGUCGGCGGUAUAGGUACUCUCGACCUGAUACCUCGGGCUUGUCUGGUUGCC
rnacentral:lncRNA from 9 species